UACAGAGGUGGCAAGCGUUUGUUCGGAAUUACUGGGCGUAAAGCGCGCGUAGGCGGCUUUGCAAGUCGGGUGUGAAAUCCCCAGGCUUAACCUGGGAACUGCAUUCGAGACUGCAUUGCUAGAGUAUGGGAGAGGGAAGUGGAAUUUCCGGUGUAGCGGUGAAAUGCGUAGAUAUCGGAAGGAACAUCAGUGGCGAAAGCGCUUCCAUGGACCAAUACUGACGCUCAUGUGCGAAAGCGUGGGGAGCAAACAGG
rnacentral:rRNA from 1 species